GUAGUUUACAUUAAGGAAGACUCUUGAUGUUGUACACUCUAUGGAUUCUACAAAUGCAUAAUGAGACAAUCAAACUUCAGAUAAUCAUGCAACAAAGUUUCCAGCCAGUUCCAGAUGAAGACACCACUCCCAGCCAUGAAGAAACUACGCUGUCUCCACUAGAUAGAGCAGGGCAAGGGUUCUGUGAUCCUCAAUAGGGUAAAUGCUGGAGGGGCUCCAAUUUGGAAGUGUUACAUUAUCAAGUGAAAUCAUAAGAGCAAUUUAUAAAGGAGAUAGCUUGGAAUUAAACUAAAAAACUGCUUAAGGUAAAAUAUGUGAGGGAACUCUCUUGUUGCCAUUGUGAGACCCUGGAGAACAGAUGGAACCAACUCUCAAGCUUCUGCUUGG
rnacentral:lncRNA from 1 species